GCCCGGCUAGCUCAGUCGGUAGAGCGUGAGACUCUUAAUCUCAGCGUCGUGGGUUCGAGCCCCACGCUGGGCG